AUUGAACGCUGGCGGAAUGCUUUACACAUGCAAGUCGAACGGCAGCACGGGGGCAACCCUGGUGGCGAGUGGCGAACGGGUGAGUAAUACAUCGGAACGUGCCCGGUCGUGGGGGAUAACGUAGCGAAAGUUACGCUAAUACCGCAUACGAUCUGAGGAUGAAAGCGGGGGACCUUCGGGCCUCGCGCGAUCGGAGCGGCCGAUGUCAGAUUAGGUAGUUGGUGGGGUAAAGGCCUACCAAGCCGACAAUCUGUAGCUGGUCUGAGAGGACGACCAGCCACACUGGGACUGAGACACGGCCCAGACUCCUACGGGAGGCAGCAGUGGGGAAUUUUGGACAAUGGGCGCAAGCCUGAUCCAGCCAUUCCGCGUGCAGGACGAAGGCCUUCGGGUUGUAAACUGCUUUUGUAUGGAACGAAAAGGCUCUGGCUAAUACCUGGGGCUCAUGACGGUACCGUAAGAAUAAGCACCGGCUAACUACGUG
rnacentral:rRNA from 1 species